AGGAUGAACGCUGGCGGCGUGCCUAAUACAUGCAAGUCGAGCGGUAAGGCCACUUCGGUGGUACACGAGCGGCGGACGGCUGAGUAACACGUAGGAACGUACCCCAAACUGAGGCAUAAGCACCAGAAAUGGUGUCUAAUACCGCAUGUGCUCUUCGGAGUAAAGCUUCGGCGGUUUGGGAACGGCCUGCGCAUGAUUAGCUUGUUGGUGAGGUAAUAGCUCACCAAGGCGACGAUCAUUAGCUGGUCUGAGAGGAUGAUCAGCCAGACUGGGACUGAGAACGGCCCAGACUCCUACGGGAGGCAGCAGUGGGGAAUAUUGCACAAUGGGCGCAAGCCUGAUGCAGCGACGCCGCGUGGGGAUGAAGGCCUUCGGGUUGUAAACCCCUUUCACCGAGGAGCGAAUUCAGACGGUACCUGGGAAGAAGCGCCGGCUAACUACGCGCCAGCAGCCGCGGUAA
rnacentral:rRNA from 1 species